GUGCUGCACCUAAUAUUAUCAGUUAUUUUAACUAUAUUAAGUAAUGUAGGAUUGGUAAGGACGGAACGUAUGAAAAGAGUGUGGAACGGAGCGUUAAGAUGUGAGUGAGAGAAAACGGAAAGAAAGGGAGAAGAGAAUGACAGACAGAAUGACAGAGAAAAGGAAAAUGGCGAAGACGGUUAAAAAAUGAGCAAGGCGUAAUGAAAGUGUUAAUUAAUUUUUAAUUAUUAUUAUAACAGAUGAUUUUGGAACAGUGGAAGUUGUAUUUUAUGCACUACGAUCCCUAUUCUGCAUAUAUGUAUAAUUUAAGUUUUUUAGCUUCAGCAUCAUAGUCAUUUGUAUCACGAUGACAUUUAUAGAAGAUGCGAUUUCAUCGAGGCUCAACGAUUCAGUACAGACAAACCAGAGCUCUCCGCCAAUGAACAUGCCUAUCAUCAUUUUAACCACUGCGCUGUAGACGAGAUAAGAUACGCUGCGGUCCAACGACGAUAGACCUGUAUAAGUAAUGAUAUUUUUAUUUAUCAUGUUCAUUAUUAUCAUUCGAAAUUUAAAUCAAUUUGGUGUGAGUCGAAUUUAAUGAAUUAUUAAUUUAAUUGAAUGAAAAAACAGAACCGUUUUCGUAAUUCAAUUCGAUUACGGUAUUUUUAUAUUUAUAUCGAUAUUUUUUUACUAUAUUAAUAUUGCUUUCUGAUGUAAAAAUAUUUUUAAGCUAUUGCAUAGCUUCUAUCGCGGGCCUUGAGCGCGCAGACUGAAUCAAGAAAUUCCGUAACGAAAAUAACCUGACACCCCACUACGCCUACUAUGUAGCGCGCGUUCAACACAUUCACACGUUGCGCUGGUAUAGUGUUUGUGAAUAAGCGCGAGGCGUGACGUCGCACUGCAUGAGCAACAUGAAAAGUCUGCCCAUCUCUCUCUCACGCGGUCUAGCUUAUGAGUGUGAAGGGGACAGUUAAUGUUUUGCUUUUGUUAAUGUUUAUAAAUAUAGCGUGGUCUUAUUUUUA